ACCUAGUAGGUAACAAAUUAGAGCUUGAUAGAAAGCGUUUCAUUUACACUGGAAAUAUUUACUGUGC
rnacentral:tRNA from 1 species